CACCGGCCAACUACGUGCCAGCAGCCGCGGUAAUACGUAGGGUGCAAGCGUUGUCCGGAAUUAUUGGGCGUAAAGAGCUCGUAGGCGGUCUGUCACGUCGGCUGUGAAAACCCGAGGCUCAACCUCGGGCGUGCAGUCGAUACGGGCAAACUAGAGUGUUGCAGGGGAGACUGGAAUUCCUGGUGUAGCGGUGAAAUGCGCAGAUAUCAGGAGGAACACCGGUGGCGAAGGCGGGUCUCUGGGCAACAACUGACGCUGAGGAGCGAAAGCGUGGGGAGCGAACAGGAUUAGAUACCCUGGUAGUCCACGCCGUAAACGUUGGGCGCUAGGUGUGGGGGCCAUUCCACGGUCUCCGUGCCGCAGCUAACGCAUUAAGCGCCCCGCCUGGGGAGUACGGCCGCAAGGCUAAAACUCAAAGGAAUUGACGGGGGCCCGCACAAGCGGCGGAGCAUGUUGCUUAAUUCGAUGCAACGCGAAGAACCUUACCUAGGCUUGACAUGCACGGAAAUCUCCCAGAGAUGGGAGGUCCUUUUAGGGUCGUGCACAGGUGGUGCAUGGUUGUCGUCAGCUCGUGUCGUGAGAUGUUGGGUUAAGUCCCGCAACGAGCGCAACCCUCGUUCUAUGUUGCCAGCACGUCAUGGUGGGGACUCAUAGGAGACUGCCGGGGUCAACUCGGAGGAAGGUGGGGAUGACGUCAAAUCAUCAUGCCCCUUAUGUCUAGGGCUGCAAACAUGCUACAAUGGCCGGUACAAAGGGCUGCGAUACCGUGAGGUGGAGCGAAUCCCAAAAAGCCGGUCUCAGUUCGGAUUGGGGUCUGCAACUCGACCCCAUGAAGUUGGAGUCGCUAGUAAUCGCAGAUCAGCAACGCCGCGGUGAAUACGUUCCCGGG
rnacentral:rRNA from 1 species